UCCUACGGGAGGCAGCAGUGAGGAAUUUUCGGCAAUGGGGGCAACCCUGACCGAGCAACGCCGCGUGCAGGAAGAAGGUCUUCGGAUCGUAAACUGCUUUUCUCUGGGAAGAGCAAGGACGGUACCAGAGGAAUCAGCACCGGCUAACUACGUGCCAGCAGCCGCGGUA
rnacentral:rRNA from 1 species